ACCCCUGAAGCUUAAAUGGAUAAGCAGGAGACUUCUAAUCUCUUGAUAGUGCAGGUUCGAGUCCUGUCAGGGGUU
rnacentral:tRNA from 1 species